CAGUCGCCGCGGUAACACGUACUGUGCGAACGUUAUUCGGAAUCACUGGGCUUAAAGGGUGCGUAGGCGGUUUAGUAAGUAGGGUGUGAAAUGCCAGAGCUCAACUUUGGCACGGCGCUCUAAACUGCUAAACUUGAGUGAGAUAGGGGUGUACGGAACUUCCGGUGGAGCGGUGAAAUGCGUUGAUAUCGGAAGGAACACCGGUGGCGAAAGCGGUACACUGGGUCUUAACUGACGCUGAGGCACGAAAGCCAGGGUAGCGAACGGGAUUAGAUACCCCUGUAGUCCCUGUCUCUUAUAC
rnacentral:rRNA from 1 species